rnacentral:rRNA from 1 species
UUAUGCCUACGGGAGGCAGCAGUGAGGAAUAUUGGUCAAUGGGCGCGAGCCUGAACCAGCCAAGUCGCGUGAGGGAGGACGGCCCUACGGGUUGUAAACCUCUUUUGCCGGGGAGCAACGGGCGUCACGUGUGGCGCCACUGAGAGUACCCGGAGAAAAAGCAUCGGCUAACUCCGUGCCAGCAGCCGCGGUAAUACGGAGGAUGCGAGCGUUAUCUGGAUUUAUUGGGUUUAAAGGGUGCGUAGGCGGAUCGUUAAGUCAGUGGUCAAAUUGAGGGGCUCAACUCCUUCCCGCCAUUGAAACUG